GAUCAUGGCUCAGGAUGAACGCUAGCUACAGGCUUAACACAUGCAAGUCGAGGGGCAGCAUGGUCUUAGCUUGCUAAGGCUGAUGGCGACCGGCGCACGGGUGAGUAACACGUAUCCAACCUGCCGUCUACUCUUGGCCAGCCUUCUGAAAGGAAGAUUAAUCCAGGAUGGGAUCAUGAGUUCACAUGUCCGCNUGAUUAAAGGUAUUUUCCGGUAGACAUGGGGA
rnacentral:rRNA from 1 species